CUCGUUUGUAAAACUGAAACAUUGUAUCCAUCCGUUAAUGAGCAUUCUGUGUGUGGCCGCCGUUCGUGUACCGAACACGUGGCGGCGGCCAUCUUUGCUUUGUUAGAGUUCAGCAGUGUUUGGUUGUCAAGUGCCUGGAACCGAAAUCGGCUACUUGAUUUCCAAACACCGCUGGACUCCCAUAGUGGUCGGGAAACUCUCUCCUUCGGGAAAAUAAAACCACUCGUGAGUUUUCUCUGCUAAAACCCAGUUCGUGUAAAUGUCUAUUGCAAGCCGUGUUCGAUUGUUUCUGCAGGGAUCAGAGCGGUACUUCGG